rnacentral:lncRNA from 1 species
UAAUAAGCAACUUAUGAAUUGGGUUGGUUUUGGAUGCAGUUGGUGCAGCUAUUGCGUGGGGAUGACCGGUUAGCUGAGCCGCACGGCGGAGCAAGAACAGUGAGUCUCGACGGGUGUGACCUACAAGAUCAUACCUCUUCCUCGUACCUUGACGGUCUCAUUCGGCAUAGACAACUCUUAAUGGAGUGAAGCAACCAAUCCAACAACAACAAUAAAAGUAUUACCUUGUCUUUCUUGCAUGUGAUUUUACUCCAUAUUCUCCAUUGUAAAAAUCUCUAAAAGAAAGGAAAGAUUGUAUGUAUAAUUGGCCUCUAGUCUCAGCUUAUGCUUGUGUCUUCAACCUUUGUUCAUGUGAAAGCUGUAGUCACUUUUGAAAUCCGAAUGAUUAAUCGAAAUCUCACAGAGAAUCCAAGAGGACGAAGGCCAUGGCUGUUGAAGGUAAGGCUAUAUAGUCAAUGUUACGACAUUAUGUUUAUGCCUUGUCUUCUAAUGAAAAAAUCUACUCAAACAUGUUAUGUGCAGAGAUGGAGAAGAAGAAAAAGAAGAAGAACAAAGGAAGCAAUGAAAAGACGGAGACGGAGAACAGCGACUCAUUAUCUAUCGACGAUCCAUCGCCGAGAUGCGUUCUUGAAAUCCCAUUAACGAGUUCGGACUCCGACAACAGCAGCAGCUGCAGCUCGUGCUCGCCUGAUAAGUCAUCGUCGCCGUUAUCUACAACUCCUCCGAACGUCUCGUCUCUUCAGCACCACGGUCUUCAAUGGAACAAGAUGAUAGACUCUAUCAAGAAGAAGUCCAUCAGGAGAUUCUCUGUCAUUCCUCUCCUCGCCAGCUACGAGCUCACGAGGAAAAACAUGCGGCGGAAACAGCCUAAGUUGUCUCCUUCUCCGGUUGACUGCGAUCAAAUAUUGGUCGCUAAACCGUCGUGGCGAAAUUUCAGUUACGAAGAGCUUGUGGCCGCCACGGACAGUUUUAAUCCCGGUAAGGUUUGGUAAGGUUCUGUUCAUGGCAGGUCCUGAAAUUUUAAAGAUUUCAAGAAUCAUAAACAUUUACCUAGAACUAUAAUAAUCUUAUAAAAAUAAUAUGAUGCCCUAGUAUGGGUCUUGAUAUGUUGUACUUGUUGUUAGAGAAUAUGACUUGAGCCAUGACCGGUCCUAAAAUUUUAGAAGUUAUAGACAAUUUAAUAAAAAUUUCAGGUAGUUUGAGGGUUUAAAAUUCUUUUUUUACAAAUUUAAGGGCCAAUAUAAUUUUUUUCAAAACUUUUUAGAGCCCUCGGGCCUGAGGCGAAUGUUUCAUCAGUCCAAGCCUUGCUUGGAGGUUCUGUAUUUUAAACUAUUUCCUAAAAUUUUGUAGAAUAAUCCCAAUGUCUUACUCGGAUGUAUCCAGAUCCGGCUCUGGUUCUGUUCUUGUGUCUCCUAGCAUGGUUUUUGAUAUAUUGUACUUGUUUUUGUUAGAGAAUAUGAUUGGGAAAGGAGGACAUGCGGAGGUGUACAAAGGAGUUUUACCUGACGGAGAGACGGUGGCGAUCAAGAAGCUGAUGAGACACGCCAUGGAAGAAGAAGAAAGAGUCAGCGACUUCUUAUCCGAGUUAGGGAUGAUCGCACACGUUAACCACCCAAACGCAGCUAGGCUUCGCGGUUUCAGUAGCGAUCGCGGUUUGCAUUUUGUGCUUGAGUACGCUCCGCACGGCAGUCUCGCUUCUCUACUCUUUGGUACAACUCUCCAUUUCAAUGAAAAUGCUUUUUAAAGCAUUGUUGUUUUUUUUUUUUGUGUUUAUGUUUUUUAAAACCUUUGUAGGGUCUGAGGAGGAGUGUUUGGAUUGGAAGAAACGGUAUAAAGUGGCUUUGGGUGUAGCUGAUGGUUUGAGUUAUCUUCAUAAUGAUUGUCCUAGACGGAUUAUUCACCGUGACAUCAAAGCUUCCAACAUUUUGCUAAGUCAAGAUUAUGAAGCUCAGGUAUUUUUAUUGAUGAUUAAUUCAACAAUCAAAAACUAAUCAGUUUUAGCUGAAUCUGAUAUGAAUUUUUUUUGGGUAGAUAUCUGAUUUUGGACUUGCUAAGUGGCUCCCAGAGAAUUGUCCUCAACAUAUUGUUUUCCCUAUCGAAGGCACAUUCGGGUCAGACAGAGACUUCCACGGCUACACAAUCUCUUCUUGAUGUUUAAAUCUUAACUAGGUUGGUUCUUUGUUUCUCUUACAGGUAUCUAGCUCCAGAGUACUUUAUGCAUGGGAUAGUUGAUGAGAAGACGGAUGUGUUUGCUUUUGGGGUGUUGCUUCUAGAGAUCAUAACUGGUCGUCGAGCGGUUGAUACAGAUAGCAGGCAAAGCAUUGUGAUGUGGGUAAUGAUCUGAAACUGCUCUUCUUCUUCUCUUUGUACGCAUUUUACAACAAUUAAGACAGUUUGAAAUGCUUAUUUUUCAAGGUGAAACCACUUCUGGAGAAGAGCAGCUUGGAGGAAAUAGUUGAUCCUAAGCUAGGAAAUGACUUUGAUGAAACUGAGAUGAGAAGGGUGAUGCAAACAGCUUCAAUGUGCAUACACCAUGUAGCCACUAUGCGUCCUGAUAUGAACCGGGUAUGUUUCAUUUCCAAAGCCAAACCAGUCCCAUUAGUGUUUGAUCUAAUAAGCAACUUAUGAAUUGGGUUGGUUUUGGAUGCAGUUGGUGCAGCUAUUGCGUGGGGAUGACCGGUUAGCUGAGCCGCACGGCGGAGCAAGAACAGUGAAUCUCGACGGGUGUGACCUACAAGAUCAUACCUCUUCCUCGUACCUUGACGGUCUCAUUCGGCAUAGACAACUCUUAAUGGAGUGAAGCAAGCAAUCCAACAACAACAACAAAAGUAUUACCUUGUCUUUCUUGCAUGUGAUUUUACUUCAUAUUCUCCAUUGUAAAA